GACGGUACCCACAAAAAAAUCCCCACGCUAACUCCGUGCCACCACCCGCGGUAAUACAGAGGGGGCUAGCGUUGUUCGGAAUUACUGGGCGUAAAGCGCACGUAGGCGGAUUGUAAAGUCACAGGUGAAAUCCCAGGGCUCUACCCUGGAUCUGCCUUUGAAACUCCCGGUCUUGAGGUCGAGAGAGGUGAGUGGAAUUCUCAGUGUGGAGGUGAGUUCGUAGAUAUUCGGAGGAACACCCCUGGCGAAGGCGGCUCACUGGCUCGAUACUGACACUGAGGUGCGAAAGCGUGGGGAGCAAACAGGAUUAUAUACCCUGGUGGUCCCCGCCCUAAACAAUAAAUGCCAGACGUCGGGG
rnacentral:rRNA from 1 species